UUACGGCCAUAUCACGUCGAAACACCGGUUUACAUACGAUCAUUGAAGUUAAGCAACCUGAGCCUAGUCAGUACCGAGAGGAGUAACCACUUGGGGAUAUUAGGUGCUGUAAG